rnacentral:lncRNA from 1 species
AUUGAUCCAUCACAGCUAAUAUGAUGGUGUGAUUGAGUGUAAGGUGAAAACCAAAUGAGUCUCACAGUCUUUUGCAAAAUUUUGAGCUAUUAUCAUCUUAGAAUUGAAAAAUAAAACCAUGAUGUUGUGAAGGGUUUCAUGAGCAUUGUUGUAAAGUUUAAGAUAUUGCUUAUUUCUUACACCAAAACAGUGUGAAACAAGUCUUGGUGAGGGUUUUAUUGUUUACUAACGUGUUUGUUCGUUAUGUUUUCUUUUUCUUUAGUUGUUUUAUUGUGUCAAAACUAGUCGGGAACUAUGAGGUUUUCUUGUAACUAACCAUCUAACUAUUGCUUUAAUGACCAUUCUUUCAAUUAUUGAUUGCAGAUGGUACAAAAAAACACCAAAGUGGAUUGAUUUGCCAAUAACAUUCAUGCUUGUGCGGGUGUCUGAAGUAUACCAAACUGACUUCUCACAUAAUCUAAUUGAUUCUCUUGUCUUGGUGGUUGGUAUACACUAGAUCGGAUUCCUCUUUUGCGUCUGAAAAAGCUAGUCUUUGUGAGUAUUGUUUCUCUCUCUCUCUCUCU